UGGCUGAACUCAUCAUUCAUAGCUGCCAGUAUUAUGCAAUACACCAUGGUUCGAUCAUUAAGCCACUGCUAGUAAGUAUCUCAGAUUGUAGUACGAACUUUCAGAGCUGGCUCCUUAGGUGUCGGAUCUAUCAGCAUGUACAAGAUCCAUUUGUGCUCAAGGAUGAUUUUGAGUUUUCGAUACCAACUAUCAAAAUUGGAUCCCAUCAAUUUAUCACAAUCUAAUAGUGAUCGAAGCCAUAAAGUGGUGGCCAUAACUGCAAAAAAAAAAAUCAAAAUCUAAUUAGUAUA
rnacentral:lncRNA from 1 species